GAGCAGGUAGCCUAGUGCUUAGAGGCUGGUAGACUAGUGGUUAGAGAGGCUGGUAGCCUAGUGGUUAGAGAGGCAGGUAGCCUAGUGGUUAGAGAGGCAGGUAGCCUAGUGGUUAGAGAGGCAGGUAGCCUAGUGGUUAGAGGCAGGUAGCCUAGUGGUUAGAGGCAGGUAGCCUAGUGGUUAGAGAGGCUGGUAGACUAGUGGUUAGGGAGGCUGGUAGUCUAGUGGUUAGAGAGGCUGGUAGACUAGUGGUUAGAGAGGCUGGUAGACUAGUGGUUAGGGAGGCUGUUAGACUAGUGGUUAGAGGCAGGUAGCCUAGUGGUUAGAGCAGGUAGCCUAGUGGUUAGAGCAGGUAGCCUAGUGGUUAGAGCAGGUAGCCUAGUGGUUAGAGCAGGUAGCCUAGUGGUUAGAGGCUGGUAGACUAGUGGUUAGGGAGGCUGGUAGACUAGUGGUUAGAGAGGCUGGUAGACUAGUGGUUAGAGCAGGUAGCCUAGUGGUUAGAGCAGGUAGCCUAGUGGUUAGAGGCAGGUAGCCUAGUGGUUAGAGGCAGGUAGCCUAGUGGUUAGAGGCAGGUAGCCUAGUGGUUAGAGUCAGGUAGCCUAGUGGUUAGAGGCUGGUAGACUAGUGGUUAGAGGCUGGUAGCCUAGUGGUUAGAGCAGGUAGCCUAGUGGUUAGAGGCAGGUAGCCUAGUGGUUAGAGAGACUGGUAGCCUAGUGGUUAGAGCAGGUAGCCUAGUGGUUAGAGCAGGUAGCCUAGUGGUUAGAGGCAGGUAGCCUAGUGGUUAGAGGCAGGUAGCCUAGUGGUUAGAGACAGGUAGCCUAGUGGUUAGAGGCAGGUAGCCUAGUGGUUAGAGGCUGGUAGCCUAGUGGUUAGAGGCUGGUAGCCUAGUGGUUAGAGCAGGUAGCCUAGUGGUUAGAGCAGGUAGCCUAGUGGUUAGAGGCAGGUAGCCUAGUGGUUAGAGCAGGUAGCCUAGUGGUUAGAGGAGGCAGGUAGCCUAGUGGUUAGAGGAGGCAGGUAGCCUAGUGGUUAGAGGAGGCAGGUAGCCUAGUGGUUAGAGGAGGCAGGUAGCCUAGUGGUUAGAGGAGGCAGGUAGCCUAGUGGUUAGAGGAGGCAGGUAGCCUAGUGGUUAGAGGAGGCAGGUAGCCUAGUGGUUAGAGGAGGCUGGUAGCCUAGUGGUUAGAGGAGGCUGGUAGCCUAGUGGUUAGAGGAGGCAGGUAGCCUAGUGGUUAGAGGAGGCAGGUAGCCUAGUGGUUAGAGGAGGCAGGCAGCCUAGUAGUUAGAGGAGGCAGGUAGCCUAGUGUUUAGAGCGUUGAACUUGUAACUGAAAGGUUGCAAGAUCAAAUCCCCGAGCUGACAAGGUACAAAUCUGUUGUUUUACCCCUGUUCCUAGGCCGUCAUUGUAAAAAGGAAUGUAUUCAUAACUGACUUGCCUAGUAAAUAUAAAAGUCAAUAAGAUGACAAAGGAGGGAUAUCCCUCUUACUUAUUUCUAUUGAGUCAUGAUGAUGAUCACAUCGCCUGUUUAAGCCCGUUGCCUUUACUUGGAGCUGAAAAUAAAUGGGCCAGUCACGAAGAUGACCCUACUUUGAUGUGACACAAACUGAACGUUCUAGAUUAGAACAGGAGUUAUGCUUUGUGAUUAUAUUACAUUAACCUCUAUGGCCAGUUUCCCAGACACAGAUUAAUAUAGCCCCGGAACUUUUUCUUUUUUUUAAAAAGUAUUUCAAUUGAGAAUGAGUUAGUCCAGAACCUACGUUACAUUACUAAAUCUAACUGAGGAACCAACCUGACUGUUUCUACUAUUGCUAAAUUAAAAUAAAUUAGAAAAAAAAAAUAUAUAUAUAUUCUUCAAAUCAAAUCAAAUUUUAUUUAUAUAGCCCUUUGUACAUCAGCUGAUAUCUCAAAGUGCUGUACAGAAACCCAGCCUAAAACCCCAAACAGCAAGCAAUGCAGGUGUAGAAGCACUGUGGCUAGGAAAAACUCCCUAGAAAGGCCAAAACCUAGGAAGAAACCUAGAGAGGAACCAGGCUAUGUGUGGUGGCCAAUCCUCUUCUGGCUGUGCCGGGUGGAGAUUAUAACAGAACAUGGCCAAGAUGUUCAAAUGUUCAUAGAUGACCAGCAGUGUCAAAUAAUAAUAAUCACAGUAGUUGUCGAGGGUGCAACAGGUCAGCUUUUCAUAGCCGAUCAUUGAGAGUAUCUCUACCACUGAUGCUGUCUCUAGAGAGUUGAAAACAGCAGGUCUGGGACAGGUAGCACGUCCUUCUUUCCCGUCUAAACCAUUUAAGAGAAACAAACCGUAUUUUAAGCUAGAAUCGUACAGUGUGACAGGGCCACAGAUACAGAAGGGUUGUGCUCAUCAGUGAGAAUCUUCCUGUUUGUUUAUUCAUUAUUUACAGUAAAACAUAUCAUGUUUGAAAAAAAUCUUGAAUAUAAAUAAUAUAAUGAAAAACAGAUGGGUCAAUACCACUUCCAGAAGAAUGUUAAUUGAAGCAGGCUAAUAAUUCAUGAUUCAUUUAUUAAAGUUGUCUUUUCUGAUUA